rnacentral:tRNA from 1 species
GAGGGCAUAGCUCAAGUGGUAGAGUGAGUAUUUAGCAUGCACGAGGUCCUGGGUUCAAUCCCCAGUACCUCCU